GAUGAACGCUAGCUACAGGCUUAACACAUGCAAGUCGAGGGGAAACGAUAGAGAAAGCUUGCUUUUUCUAGGCGUCGACCGGCGCACGGGUGAGUAACGCGUAUCCAACCUGCCCAUCACUUGGGGAUAACCUUGCGAAAGUAAGACUAAUACCCAAUGAUGUCUCUAGAAGACAUCUGAAAGGGAUUAAAGAUUUAUCGGUGAUGGAUGGGGAUGCGUCAGAUUAGCUUGUUGGCGGGGUAACGGCCCACCAAGGCGACGAUCAGUAGGGGUUCUGAGAGGAAGGUCCCCCACAUUGGAACUGAGACACGGUCCAAACUCCUACGGGAGGCAGCAGUGAGGAAUAUUGGUCAAUGGGCGAGAGCCUGAACCAGCCAAGUAGCGUGCAGGAUGACGGCCCUAUGGGUUGUAAACUGCUUUUAUAAGGGAAUAAAGUGAGCCUCGUGAGGCUUUUUGCAUGUACCUUAUGAAUAAGGACCGGCUAAUUCCGUGCCAGCAGCCGCGGUAA
rnacentral:rRNA from 1 species